rnacentral:rRNA from 1 species
AGUGAACGCUGGCGGUAGGCCUAACACAUGCAAGUCGAACGGCAGCACAGUAAGAGCUUGCUCUUACGGGUGGCGAGUGGCGGACGAGUGAGGAAUACAUCGGAAUCUACUUUUUCGUGGGGGAUAACGUAGGGAAACUUACGCUAAUACCGCAUACGACCUGCGGGUGAAAGCAGGGGAUCUUCGGACCUUGCGCGAUUGAAUGAGCCUAUGUCGGAUUAGCUAGUUGGCGGGGUAAAGGCCCACCAAGGCGACGAUCCGUAGCUGGUCUGAGAGGAUGAUGAGCCACACGGGAACUGAGAGACGAGCCAGACUCCUACGGGAGGCAGCGGUGGGGAAUAUUGGACGAUGGGGGAAAGCCUGAACCAGGGAUACCGCGUGGGUGAAGAAGGCCUUCGGGUUGUAAAGCGCUUUUGUUGGGAAAGAAAAGCAGCAGGUUAAUACACCGGUGUUCUGACGGUACCCGAAGAAUAAGCACCGGCUAACUUCGUG